UCCACGCUCACCCUCGCAGAGCCCUCAGAUCUGAACGAGCUUCAACGGCUCCAAAUCCACUCUGAAACUCCACCUCUCUGCUAUUUACUCACUCAAACAUUAACGUCCCGCUCUUUUAAUUUUCUUCCAGCUGAAAACCACGAAAAACAAUUCCUCUCAGUUUGAUUUGUUUAGAGACCAAAUGCAAGAGCAAGCGACGAGCUCCCUUGCCGCGAGCUCUCUCCCGUCGAGCAGCGAAAGGUCUUCGAGCUCUGCAUUCCAAGUUGAAGUCAAAGAAGGCAUGGAAAGUGAUGAGGAGAUCAGGAGAGUGCCGGAGAUUGGCGGCGAAUCUGCCGGAGCGUCAAUCUCCGGUAGGGAAACCGGUUCGUUGGCCGGUCCGGACCGGGCCCAAGUGGUAGGUGAGGGGCAAAGAAAGAGAGGAAGAAGUCCAGCUGACAAGGAAAGCAAGAGGCUGAAGAGGUUAUUAAGGAACAGAGUUUCAGCACAGCAAGCAAGGGAGAGGAAGAAGGCAUACUUGAGUGAUUUGGAAGUGAGAGUGAAAGACUUGGAGCAGAAAAACUCUGAGCUUGAGGAGAAGCUUUCCACUUUGCAGAAUGAGAAUCAGAUGCUUAGACAUAUACUGAAGAACACAACGGCAAGCCGGAGAGGAGCAGGCAGUAAUGCAAAUGCAGAUGGAUCCUUAUAGGAAAGUGUGUGAGAUCAGAGUGUUCAUAAAGAGAAAUUGUGAGAGGAAAAGCAGAAGCAAUACGACUUUAGUAUUCCAACCAUACAUGGAAACAUCACAAGGGAGGGACCUAGGCAUACUUAAUCAUAGAUUAGCAUUUCUAGCAUUUCCUUUAAGUUAUGUUCACUAGUAGUUCAUUUGCAUGCCACUCCCGUGGUACUUUUCUGUAUGCAAUAUGGUGCAGAUCUUGUGUCAACUGUAGUAACAGCAGCGGGUGCAGGCAUGACUGGAAAAUUUACCAAAAAUGGGAAAAGCUCGUUCGUGUUGGUAGUGGCAAUGACAGUGGCACUAGCAUUUGUGAAAAUGGUGAGGCAGUGGUGAUUGCUAGUAGGGUUUAGGCUUGCCGUGGCGAUUGUGGUGUUACCAGUCUACUUAUUCUUUGCCGAAAUGUUCUAUAGGUUUAUAAGAGAUCAAAUUCCCAUCAUCAAUGCAAUGGGAAAAAUGGAAUAACAGUGUACUGUGUUCUUUUAAGACGGGUGGUUUUAGUUUAUGCAA